rnacentral:lncRNA from 1 species
ACUGCAAAAAUCAGGAAACUGCUGAAAUGACACCACAGCAAAAGCAACUUCUAGAUAGCAUAUAUAUGGGUUUCACCUCAGCAAAUCUUGCAUGUUGUAAUCGACUGCUUGCUGUUAGGUCCAGAAUUGGACCAAUAUUUUUAAGUAAGUCCAGAAUCCAGAAGUUUUUAACGGUUGCUGAUUUUAUGAGUUAAAAUUUUUUUUUCGUCAUUGUCAAAGUGUUUUUGACAAUGCUUUUCAGGGUAAGUAUGUCACCUAGUUUUUGCUUGAAUGUUUUAUCCUUUUGAGUAAAGUGGUUGCAAUGAAAAGUAGUGCCACCAACGAAUGUCUGUAAACUUGUACACUACAAAAUUUAGAUUGUACCUCAUCAUUUCGAGAUCAACUUUUUUGUAUACUUAAUUGUUUAUUAUGGCCUAGUGUUAUUUCAAAAGGAAAAAUGUUUGUCAAGGCUGAAUUUAGAGAAACAGUUGCCCUUCAAACUUGGUGAAUCUUCAACAUUUUAAUACAGCAUAGGUCUUGUCUAGCCAGGGUAGGUAGGCUAUAGGCCUAGGAGGAGAGGAUACGUCUCACGGCUGUUUCAUUGCAUAGAACACGCUUUUUUAUUUCAAUAAGAUAGCAGCUGCUUCAUGAAUUUCUGUAGAAUAGUCCAUAGCAACAAAAUUUUGUGAAAAUAUGUAUUUGAUUUUAUAGAAAUAAACUAAUUUAAUAAUAAAAUUUAUCAAGUAUACAUUGGUAUUUUAUAGGAAUAGGCUUUAUAGAUGCUGUACUCACUGAGAUACCAUAUAAAAUUCCUAGUAAUUAUAUGACUUUGAAUGAUUUUAUUUUCUGCACAAUUGCUGUUGAAUUGUAAAUAUACAGCGCCCUCACACUGAUAUGUAAAAAUCGUAAAGGUAAACAAAACUCUUCUGCAUGUAACUGUUGUCUAUAAUUUUUAGUGUUAAUUUGCAAAGCUACCCUAAGAAAUAAUUAUGUUAUUACUUUCAACAUACAUUUGUUAGGACGUAAGACCUAUAAUCAUUUCUUACUUAACUUUUUCUUCAACCUAUUUUUUGUCUCUUUAGCCUAGACAUGUUGAAGACUAUGCAUACAGCGCGUGUUUUGUGCGCUCUAACAACCCUCCAUGUUCAACGAACCCGUAAAGUGGGCCUAGGAAGUAUUUACUUUGUUACAUAAGCUGUUAUAUAAAAUUAAAUGGCAGUUGGUAAACAAGCAGAUUGAGAUAGUGACAUGUUUAGCAGCAGUGGAAAUGAAAAAUGCUUAUAAAAAUUGAGAAAGCGGAGAACAACACAAGAACAGAUUCUGAGUGCCAUGUUGGUAUGCAGGCAGAUUGAAAGCAGUGUUUUCACUUGAUGUGUGUAUAAUAAUUGGAAAAAUGGAUAACAACUGAAGAAUACCAGAUUCUGUUCAUUUGAAAGAGCAGCAUGUUGAUAAACUGUGGUUGAGAGCGUAAUUGGAAAGCUUAAUAUCAGUUUCUGUUGAUUCAUUUGCAUAUUCCACCAGAUCAGCUAUCCUCAUUACCAGGCAGAGAAAUGAUGAAUAUUCAUUGAAUUCAGCUAGAACUGCAAAAACCAGCAAAACUGCAGAACUAACACCAAGUCAAGAACAACUUCUGAGAGGCAUAUAUAUCUUUCAGCGGGGCCAAGGGUGGUGGGUGGCGCGUAGGUUCCACGCGUGGCGAUCGCCUAUGAUGGGCGAUCGCUUCCGCUUGGAUAAUCCCAACUGUCUUUUUGCGUGAGAUGCUGACGAAAUUUUCCAAAAAAGUUUCGUUAACAUUUAUUGCAUUGUACAGUAUGUGUUGUUUGAAAUACAGUAACUACAAAUGAGCUGUAGUACAAAUACAAAA